rnacentral:rRNA from 1 species
AUGUAAUGUAAUUCCUACAAUGUUAAUGCAUCAGAUCCCAUUAGAACUCUACAGAUAAUAACACUUGGGAUAUAGUAGUACUGGGAUCGGUGACCUCCCGAGAAUUCCUAAUCUUUUACAUG